rnacentral:lncRNA from 1 species
GGAGCUCUGGCGGCAGCUCCUUGCGCUGUCCGGCGCCGCCUUCCGCGGGGAGCGGCUGUGCCCAUCCGCCGAGCGUUUCUCUGACGUUUUGGCUUCAGUGAGACACCAAUAAGUCGGUCCUGUGGGAGGCCGUCGCUGGGAGCAGGGACAGCCCCGGGGUGGCCAGUGCUGCACCUGAAGCAUCCCUCUGUCAGGUGGCGUCGGCUCUCCCGGGAACCCCGGAGAUGCCCAGCGCGGAGCAUCGCAGGGAGACUGGCCUGUGCCCGGCAGAAGGCAAAGGAGCAUUUCCCUUGUGCUUUCUGGGUCUCUUGUUUUCAGCAAGGAUCCCCUUCUAGAAGCCCUUCUGGAAGCCCCUUGCUCUGGGGAACUGACCAUGUCCGCGCCCAAACCAUCACCGGCCUGGGGCACGAGACGAGGACUGGAUGGAGGAGGCACGUUGCGGGGAGGUGGCUGGGCUGAGAGCACCAGUCUGUAACAGCAGGGAAGCGGGUCGGAGUGUGCCUACUUUGAUGGUAAUUGGAGUCUACUAAUUAAUUAAUUGUGGGCACACACAGCCCACAGCUCUGUGUAAAUUUGAAAAAGGCUUAUCAAAAAGUUUUUAAGUAAAAAAAUACACCUAAAACUAAAUUAGAAUAGUCUCCCAUGGCCAACGGGGCGGGGAUUGUUUGUAGCCACCGAGGACACGGUGUUCAUCUGGAUCAGAGACUUGAGUAGCAGGUCAGGUCUUAAUUUUACUGUUUCUACCAAAGGGGAAACUUCUUUUUUUUUUUUAACUUUUAAAUUUGUUCUAAUUAGUUAUACAUGACAGUAGAAUGCAUUUUGACCCAUUGUACACAAAUGGGACACAACUUCUCCUUCCGCUGGCUGUACAUGGUGCAGAGUCACUCCAGUAGUGCAAUCAGACAUGCAUGUAGGGUAAUAAUGUCUGUCUCAUUCUACUGUCCCAAAGUGGCACCUUUUAACUUGGGAAAAGGCAUAUGUGUCAGAGAGGUUUUAUUUUUAUUUUUAUUGUGAUGCUGGGGUCAAGUUCAGGGCCUCAUGUGUGGUGGACAAGUGCUCUACCACCGAGUUACACUCCCAUCCCAAGAAUUGUUGAUAUUACAAGCAAACAUGUCCUCUUUUAAAAAAAUUUUUUAUAUUUAUUUUUUAGUUGUAGUUGGACGCAACACCUUUCUUUUUUUUAAGAAUUUUUUUUAAUAUUUAUUUUUUAAUUUUCGGCAGACACAACAUCUUUGUUUGUAUGUGGUGCUGAGGAUCGAACCUGGGCCGCACGCAUGCCAGGCGAGCGCGCUACCGCUUGAGCCACAUCCUCAGCCCCAACACCUUUAUUUCACUUGUUUAUUUUUGUAUGUGGUGCUGAGGAUCGAACCCAGGGUCUCCCACAUGCGAAGCAAAUGCUCUACCGCUGAGCCACAACCCCAGCCAUGUCCUCUUUUUUUAAAAAAAUAUUUUUAAGUUUUUGAUGUACCUUUAUUUAGUUUUACGUGGUGCUGAGGAUCAAACUCAGUGCCUCACGCAUGCUAGGCAAGUGCUCUGCCACUGAGGCACAACCCCAGCCCCAACAAACAUGUCCUUGACAGCUAUGAGUUCCUUACUGAAAUAUACUCUGCCCUGUCACACACUGGGUUGGUAAGUAUAUCACAUACUUAAAAGCCAGAAGGUAAAAUGUUUGACUAUGGAGGCCAAGUUAAAAUCUUGUAUCAGAACUGGCGCAGUGGCACAGACUUGUAAUCCCAGCUACUUGGGAGGCCAAGGCAGGAGGAUUGCAAAUUUGAGGCAGCCUGUAUAACUUAGCUAGACCCUGUCUCAAAAUGAAAAAAAUUAGGGGCUGUGGUUGUGGCUCAGUGGAAGAGAACUUGUCUAGCACAUGUGAGGCACUGGGUUUGAUCCUCAGCACCACGUAAACAAAUAAACAAAAUAAAGGUAUUGUGUUCAUCUACAAUUAAAAAUUAUAUAUAUUUACAAAAUAGCUGGGCAUGGUGGCACACGCCUGUAAUCCCAGUGGCUCAGGAGGCUGAGACAGGAAGAUUGCGAGUUCAAAGCCAGCCUCAGCAACUCAGUGAGGCCCUAAGCAACUCAGUGAGACCCUGUCUCUAAAUAAAAUACAAAAUAUGGCUGGGGAUGUGGCUCAGUGGUUGAGUGCCGUGGUAACCCCCCCACCCAAAUAAUAAAUACAUAAAUAAAUAAUAAAUAAAAAUUGUUAAAAGGGCUGGGGAUGUAACUUAGUAAUAGAGCACCCUCAGGUUCAUUCCCCAGUACGAGGGGCUGGGGCAACAUUUACCUUUGUUGCAUAACAAACCACCCCAAAAUUCAGUGGCUUAGGAAGACAGACACUUAGAUGAUUCCCUGGGGGCCCUUCUGGUGUGCUCCUGGCUGCUCUGAUCUCAGCUGGGCUCACCCCGCACCUGCAGUCAGCUGUGGGGGGGUCACGGGCCAGCUGGUCCUCGUGUCUAAGGCAGGUUGCUGUUGGGACAAUGGUGGGACUGUGUCUCAUCUCCAAGCUUGCUCAGCUUGCUCCCAUGGAGUCUCAGAAGCAGUCACAAGAGCACCAGAGCAGAAGUCACAAGGCCUGCAUAGGUCUAGAUGUGGGACCUUGCCACUGUGAUCAAAGCAAGUCCAGGGCAUCCCUGAGCAAACAGGGAGGCAGCGAAGUGCCGUGGCCACCUCUACCAUCACCUCACCUGCAUCCACUCGGAUGGAUUUCAGCUUUGAAAAGAGUUUCUUCAGUUUUGUUUCAGGAUUUGGUGUGGUCUUGGAAUCCAGCCUAAUAAAAGCAUAUUUGGACUCUGGAGAGAGAGGUCACCCAAGACCCUGAAGACAAGUCACUCAAACAAGCUCCUUACUUACCAUCCUUGCAGUGGCAUGCUCAGUGUGAAGAAGUGUUCUCAGUCUGUGUCCUUGGGACUGUCCACAUGGAAAUGUGCAGUCACGGUGCCUCACCCGGCAUGCAGAGAGACCUCCCACACCCAGGGCUACCUGGUACUGUUCCUUCAGCUCUGAAUCAGAUCAGGGGGACAUUGCCCAUGGAUAACCAGUCCUUGGGAGCCUGGCGAGGUGGCUGGUGUUUGCAGGGCAGCCUCCUUCCUUCCUGUAGCCAGCCCCCCCCGCCCCCCAAGACCCUUUCAGCACCAGGCUCAGUGGCCCUCGGCUUGCAAAAUGAGCAUCAGCUCACUGGAAAACCACUUCU